rnacentral:tRNA from 1 species
GCCCGGAGGGCUCAGCCGGUUAAGCGUCCGACUUCGGCUCGGGUCGUGAUCUCGCAGUUCGUGGGUUCGAGCCCCGCUUUGGGCU